rnacentral:lncRNA from 1 species
UGCAGGUCAAACCAAUUUCUUUAAAAUACCACACAUAUAUAAUAUCAAGAUAACUACAAAGUAUUUGUUACCAACAUAAUGUUCUAAACGUCUGAGAAAUUUCUUGAAUUUACUUAAUUUAUGUUAACAAAUAGUGUCAAAAUAUCGAAUAGGACGUUGCAAGUGUAAAUAAGCUGCCGAAUCUAUAGCAAAAACAAACAGAUCAACCAAAUGGCCUGAAUGCUUCUCUUAUAACCUCUUCAAUAGCAUUUGUCAACUCAAAUAGGCCGCUUUUGAUACCACAUCCGAUAUUUUUGUGACACAUUUCUGAUGAAAUCUCUGUGAUCAUUAUGAGCAGACGAUGUUUGGUGAUACGAGUAUAGUUACAGAAGUUCAUUUCACAACUCUAAAUGACACCGUGGUCCACUGUUCAAUCCGCGAAGCGGAAUUUUGUGUAUGAGUUCUCAGUCAGAAAACUGCACAUGGACUGAAUUGCUUACUGAAAUAACAGCAAUGAUGCAACUGAAAUAAAAGACAGUUAAACAGUGUUUUCGGAAAGGUGGCGUAAAAGCGUACUCUUCAAAUUCAUGCUCAAGCCCAUGUAUGAAAUGCACAAACUCAUUUACGUAUGUUUUAUGUCUUGCCUUAUGAUCUGGGUGACGUCACAUUAGUGAUGACAAAAUAUGAAAACCAGGUUAAUUCAAAUAGGUCCGGCCAGAAGAAGAGACAAUAAAUUUCGUGCUGUGUUGUCGACUUUGUCUAACGCUACUGUUUACGGAAAAUGAAUCGCUGUGUGGAUUGUUGCACGUGGUAACAGCGUUCUGCAGAAAGAUAGCUUAUAGACGGCCAUGUUUUGCUACUUUAGAGAAACCUAUAUAAAUGUCUAGUAUAGUUUAUGACAUCUACUAUAGAAGAAGGUAUUAGAAUAAUUUUUGUGAUGAAAUUUAUAUACCUAUAACAUUCUGUUCUUUAAUAAAAUUAUAAACUAUA